GAUGAACGCUAGCUACAGGCUUAACACAUGCAAGUCGAGGGGAAACGACAUCGAAAGCUUGCUUUUGAUGGGCGUCGACCGGCGCACGGGUGAGUAACGCGUAUCCAACCUGCCCAUCACUUGGGGAUAACCUUGCGAAAGUAAGACUAAUACCCAAUGAUAUCUCUAGAAGACAUCUGAAAGAGAUUAAAGAUUUAUCGGUGAUGGAUGGGGAUGCGUCUGAUUAGCUUGUUGGCGGGGUAACGGCCCACCAAGGCAACGAUCAGUAGGGGUUCUGAGAGGAAGGUCCCCCACAUUGGAACUGAGGCACGGUCCAAAAUCCUACGGGAGGCAGGAGUAAGGAAUAUUGGUCAAUGGGCGAGAGCCUGAACCAGCCAAGUAGCGUGCAGGAAGACGGCCCUAUGGGUUGUAAACUGCUUUUAUAAGGGAAUAAAGUGAGAGUCGUGACUCUUUUUGUAUGUACCUUAUGAAUAAGGACCGGCUAAUUCCGUG
rnacentral:rRNA from 1 species